rfam:Methanomicrobiales archaeon 53_19 MPJ_scaffold_19, whole genome shotgun sequence.
GCUAGGGUAGGGUAGCUGGACAUCCUAUAGGACUGUGGAUCCUUUGACCCGGGUUCGAGUCCCGGCCCUGGCC